GACGAACGCUGGCGGCGUGCUUAACACAUGCAAGUCGAGCGGUAAGGCCCUUUCGGGGGUACACGAGCGGCGAACGGGUGAGUAACACGUGGGUGACCUGCCCUCAGCUCUGGGAUAAGCCUGGGAAACCGGGUCUAAUACUGGAUAUGACUCCAUGACGCAUGUUGUGGGGUGAAAGCCUUGUGCGGCUGAGGAUGGGCCCGCGGCCUAUCAGCUUGUUGGUGGGGUGANGGCCUACCAAGGCGACGACGGGUAGCCGGCCUGAGAGGGCGACCGGCCACACUGGGACUGAGACACGGCCCAGACUCCUACGGGAGGCAGCAGUGGGAAUCUUGCGCAAUGGGCAAAGCCUGACGCAGCGACGCCGCGUGAGGGAUGACGGCC
rnacentral:rRNA from 1 species